rnacentral:rRNA from 1 species
AACGAACGCUGGCGGCAGGCCUAACACAUGCCAGUCGAGCGCGCCCUUCGGGGUGAGCGGCGGACGGGUGAGUAACGCGUGGGAACGUGCCCUUUUCUACGGAAUAGCCUCGGGAAACUGAGAGUAAUACCGUAUACGCCCUUUGGGGGAAAGAUUUAUCGGAAAAGGAUCGGCCCGCGUUGGAUUAGGUAGUUGGUGGGGUAAUGGCCUACCAAGCCGACGAUCCAUAGCUGGUUUGAGAGGAUGAUCAGCCACACUGGGACUGAGACACGGCCCAGACUCCUACGGAGGGCAGAAGUGGGGAUUCUUGAACAUGGGGGGCAACCCUAACCUGGCAAGGCGGGGUGGGUAAUAAGGCCCUAGGGUUGUAAAGCUCUUUCAGCUGGGAAGAUAAUGACGGUACCAGCAGAAGAAGCCCCGGCUAACUCCGUG